CAGUAGUCACGAGUUUGAUCCUGGCUACAGAACGAACGCUGGCGGCAUGCCUAACACAUGCAAGUCGAACGAAGCCUUCGGGCUUAGUGGCGCACGGGUGCGUAACGCGUGGGAACCUACCAUCAGGUUCGGAAUAACAGUUAGAAAUGACUGCUAAUACCGGAUAAUGUCUUCGGACCAAAGAUUUAUCGCCUUUUGAUGGGCCCGCGUAAGAUUAGGUAGUUGGUGGGGUAAAGGCCUACCAAGCCGACGAUCUUUAGCUGGUCUGAGAGGAUGAUCAGCCACACUGGGACUGAGACACGGCCCAGACUCCUACGGGAGGCAGCAGUGGGGAAUAUUGGACAAUGGGCGAAAGCCUGAUCCAGCAAUGCCGCGUGAGUGAUGAAGGCCUUAGGGUUGUAAAGCUCUUUUACUGGGGAUGAUAAUGACAGUACCCAGAGAAUAAGCUCCGGCUAACUCCGUG
rnacentral:rRNA from 1 species